CCUACGGGGGGCUGCAGUGGGGAAUAUUGGACAAUGGGGGCAACCCUGAUCCAGCCAUGCCGCGUGUGUGAAGAAGGCCCUCGGGUUGUAAAGCACUUUCAGUGAGGAAGAACGCCUGGUGGUUAAUACCCAUCAGGAAAGACAUCACUCACAGAAGAAGCACCGGCUAACUCCGUGCCAGCAGCCGCGGUAAUACGGAGGGUGCGAGCGUUAAUCGGAAUUACUGGGCGUAAAGCGCGCGUAGGUGGCUUGAUAAGCCGGUUGUGAAAGCCCCGGGCUCAACCUGGGAACGGCAUCCGGAACUGUCAAGCUAGAGUGCAGCAGAGGAAGGUAGAAUUCCCGGUGUAGCGGUGAAAUGCGUAGAGAUCGGGAGGAAUACCAGUGGCGAAGGCGGCCUUCUGGACUGAAACUGACACUGAGGUGCGAAAGCGUGGGUAGCAAACAGGAUUAGAUACCCUAGUAGUC
rnacentral:rRNA from 1 species